rnacentral:rRNA from 1 species
UACGAAGGGGGCUAGCGUUGCUCGGAAUCACUGGGCGUAAAGCGCACGUAGGCGGAUUGUUAAGUCAGGGGUGAAAUCCUGGAGCUCAACUCCAGAACUGCCUUUGAUACUGGCGAUCUUGAGUCCGGGAGAGGUGAGUGGAACUGCGAGUGUAGAGGUGAAAUUCGUAGAUAUUCGCAAGAACACCAGUGGCGAAGGCGGACUCACUGGCCCGGUACUGACGCUGAGGUGCGAAAGCGU